rnacentral:rRNA from 1 species
AUGACUAGGGAUAACCUUAGGAAGAGACACAUCAUCAAACCCCUUGAUUGUGUUUACUGCUUGGAACAAGAGUCUUGCUCUCACCUAUUUUUUGAAUGUAUAGUUGCUAAACAUCUCUGGGCCCACAUUGAGGAAUAUUUCUCUAGUCAGAUUGGCUCAUCCUUCGAAUUUGUCGCCAGAUUCUAGAUUGCUACCAAAAAGUGCUUAGUUUUAAACACUGUUAGCUCAACUGUCCUUUGGUGUCUCUGGAAAUAUACAAAUGCUAUGAUUUUCAGUAACAUCUCCUGGAUUUCCAUUUCGCAGGUCUUGAGGUUGAUCAGGAACAUGGUGAGGAACUGGGCGAUUCUCUCCUCCGGAUCGGACAAGGACAAGUUGAUGAGCUUCGUGGAAACCCUAACAAGAUCCCUCCAGAAACCGUUGGCGAUCACUUGUGGCUGA